UACGUAGGGUGCGAGCGUUGCCCGGAUUUAUUGGGCGUAAAGGGCGCGUAGGCGGUCGGAUAAGGCUUGUGUGAAAUCUUCGGGCUCAACUCGAAGUCUGCACAGGAAACUAUCUGGCUUGAGUGUGGGAGAGGUGAGUGGAAUUCCUGGUGUAGCGGUGAAAUGCGUAGAUAUCAGGAGGAACACUUGUGGCGAAAGCGGCUCACUGGACCACAACUGACGCUGAGGCGCGAAAGCUAGGGGAGCAAACAGG
rnacentral:rRNA from 1 species